GAUGAACGCUGGCGGCGUGCCUAAUACAUGCAAGUCGAGCGAACAGAUGAGGAGCUUGCUCCUCUGACGUUAGCGGCGGACGGGUGAGUAACACGUGGAUAACCUACCUAUAAGACUGGGAUAACUUCGGGAAACCGGAGCUAAUACCGGAUAAUAUAUUGAACCGCAUGGUUCAAUAGUGAAAGACGGUUUUGCUGUCACUUAUAGAUGGAUCCGCGCCGCAUUAGCUAGUUGGUAAGGUAACGGCUUACCAAGGCAACGAUGCGUAGCCGACCUGAGAGGGUGAUCGGCCACACUGGAACUGGGACACGGUCCAGAGUCCUACGGGAGGCAGCAGUAGGGAAUCUGCCGCAAUGGGCGAAAGCCUGACGGAGCAACGCCGCGUGAGUGAUGAAGGUCUUCGGAUCGUAAAACUCUGUUAUUAGGGAAGAACAAAUGUGUAAGUAACUAUGCACGUCUUGACGGUACCUAAUCAGAAAGCCACGGCUAACUACGUG
rnacentral:rRNA from 1 species